AUGGUUAGGCUUGUGCAUGUGUACAACCUAACAACACAAACAGAGGUGUUCUCCAAGUGGAAAGAGAGGUUCGUGAUCAGCGACGAUCUGGUGAUCAAGCCGGCGGCGACGAGCACCGUCCUGUCUUUUCUUCAGAGGUUCCUCGGAGAUAGGAUCAAUGACGCCUACGAAGUGGAGGUCGACGUCGGAUGGACCCAGGUUGUUUCCUUGCUCAGAGCAUGUGUCUCGUCCACCAACAUAUUCACCGAUGUGUUUCUCGCGAAAAGAACCGAUUCUUGUUUGAUGGACACAUCAGUGCUCACGAUUACCAAACCUCGGCGUCAAGAGGCCAACGGAGACCCCGGUCCGCAGAUGAGCAUCAAGCUUUUCUUCGACAGGGAGGACAGAAAGGUCAUGUACGCUGAGUGCAAGCAUGACUUCGUGGACCUGCUCCUCAGCUUCCUGACCUACCCCAUGGGAUGCAUCCUCAAGAACCUGGCCGGCACCUUUCACCGGUUCCACGGCUUCAACAAUCUUUACAGCAGUGCCGAUGGUCUCAACACGUCUGGCUUCCUGACGGGACCCUGCUUCGGUGACAAGAGCACGCUGCUCGAUCCUAGUAUUGCUCCGUUGAAGACCCACGGCGUCGAUGGGUCGGAUCAGGCAAUUGUGGAGUGGUAUCAUCUCUGCCGGACCGGGAAGCGGCAGUACUCCCGCGCAAUGGAUAAAAGGUCUUGCCAGUUGUUCGAUUCGGUGUUUGUCGAUGAUCACACCUAUGUAGUCGACGACGAGUUGCGUAUACAUCAAGCUUCGGCCGUGUCGGUGCUGAAGCACUGGUGCAAGAGAAACCGGGAUAAUGUAGUGGAGAUGGACAUUGCUGUCAGCAAACGAGAGGCUGUCGCGCUACUGCGAGCGGCGAUCAAUUCAGAGACUGCGCUGACAGAUGCGUUCAAGGGGAGGUUUCAGCAGGAAGCACAACUGUUGCCACCUUCAAAAAGAAGAACAGGCUCACCAUCGGUGGAGAAGAUGCAGAUCUUUGUCAAGAUCUUCACAGGCGAGACCAUCACCCUUGACGUGGCAAGCUCCGACACGGUUGCUGCCGUGAGGAGUAAGAUCCAGAUGAAGGGGAAGCUAAUGGCUGAUUGUAGGUUCGUGUACGGUGGCAAAUGCCUGCAGGAUCCAUGGACCCUGGCUGAUUGUGGCAUUCGCAGAGAAGCCACCAUCCACCUUGAGUUUUACCCCCGCGGCCUUAUCAAAACAGACACAGAAUGA
rnacentral:rRNA from 1 species